rnacentral:rRNA from 1 species
GGACGAACGCUGGCGGCGUGCUUAACACAUGCAAGUCGAACGAUGAAGAAAAGAAUCGAAGCUUCGGCAGAAAUUCAUUUCGGAUUAGUGGCAGACGGGUGAGUAACGCGUGAGCAACCUACCUCUUACAAAGGGAUAGCCUCGGGAAACCGGGAUUAAUACCAUAUAACAUUGCGACGAAGCAUUUCGAUGCAAUCAAAGCUACGGCGGUAAGAGAUGGGCUCGCGCCCCAUUAACCGGAUGGUGAGGUAACGGCUCACCAUAGUGACGAUGGGUAACCGGCCUGAGAGGGUGAACGGUCACACUGGAACUGAGACACGGUCCAGACUCCUACGGGAGGCAGCAGUGGGGAAUAUUGCACAAUGGAGGGAACUCUGAUGCAGCGACGCCGCGUGAGUGAUGAAGGAAUUCGUUUCGUAAAACUCUGUUCUAUGGGAAGAAAAGGACUGUACCAUAGGAGAAAGCUCCGGCUAAAUACGUG